GGUGGCUUGGCUCAGUGGCAGAGCAGCUGUUUGGCAUGCAGAAGGUCCCAGGCUCAAUCCCCUGGAAGCCUCCA